rnacentral:rRNA from 1 species
GACGAACGCUGGCGGCGUGCUUAACACAUGCAAGUCGAACGAAGAGCGAUGGAAGCUUGCUUCUAUCAAUCUUAGUGUCGAACGUGUUAGCAACGCGUAAUCAACCUGCCCUUCAGAGGGGGACAACAGUUGGAUACGACUGCUAAUACCGCAUACGAUCUAAUCUCGGCAUCUAGGAUAGAUGAAAGGUUGCCUCUACAUGUAAGCUUUCACUGAAGGAGGGGAUUGCGUCUGAUUAGCUAGUUGGUGGGGUAACGGCCCACCAAGGCGAUGAUCAGUAGCCGGACUGAGAGGAUGAACGGCCACAUUGGGACUGAGACACGGACCAGACUCCUACGGGAGGCAGCAGUGGGGAAACUUCCGCAAUGGAAGAAAGUCUGACGGAGAAACGCCGCGUGAGGGAUGACGGCAUUCGGGUUGUAAAGCUCUGUUAAUCGGGACGAAAGGACAUCUAGCGAAUAGUGAGAAGGAUUGACGGUACCGGAAUAGAAAGCAACGGCUAACUACGUG